UACUUACCUUUCUACAAAUAGCACAGUCAACUGUUCAGUCUUGCUGUCUCACAGCUGAGGUGACCAAUUGUCCUGGUUUUCCCUGCAUGACGGAUUUUUCUGGAAGUGAGACUUCCGUGCUGAAGCAGAGGAAGGCGCAUCCCAGGGAGACUAGGAUGGUUGGUUACCCUAUAACAGAACAAAGAGCCUGAAUGACCAAUACCCCAUCCUGGAGGCUUGGAAGUCAUUGUUAAACAAUGUCGAUGUCAAAGCACCAGAAAGCAAAUGUCUCUGAGAAAAGGCUAUACCCCAGAAAAAUUAAAUUAGAAUCUUUGGGGUUGGACUUCAACAUCACCAGUAUUUUUUGAAGGUUGUGCCUGCCAAAUGUGCUGUCAAGGUUGAGAACUACUAUGUUAGGCUCAGAGCAACAGACCCUUGACCAUAAACUCCAGCCUGUGUGCAGAUCUAGGUUCUGCCUUACACUUGAGGAGCCAUCUGCCUGAAGCUUAGAACUCUGGGGUGACCCUGUGGCCCUUUGGUAUCCUGGUUGGAGCCCAGCUGCAACUUAACUUCUUGAAGAUCUGUUUUAUACAAAACCAGUGUGUGUACUGGCACAAGGCUUGGUAUUUACUUUUACCAAAACGUAAAACUCCACAUGCAGAUUGAGACACCUGGCUCUGCAGCAUCCAGGCUCAUUUACAAUACAAUUGUGCCUUCUACCAAGGCCUCUGAAGAGAAGUUUCAUCUAUGAAAAAUUCACCCAACACAUAAAAUAUAACCCAUAUUAUUUAAAUCUCCCUUAAUCAAGUAUAAUAAAUACUCUACAAAAUUAGAGCAUGAUGAAAUGCAAGGUUGAAAAGUAA